GAGAAGAGGCAGUUGCCGUAGCGGAGCCCUCUGGGUCUGUGCGAGUGUGUGAGUGGAUGUGAGCCGCCGCCGGGAGCUGCGGACGGUUUGCCGAGCCCGUUAGCGCCGCUGGCCCAGAGUCCCGCCGCCAUCAUGUCCCGAUACCUGCGCCCCCCUAACACGUCUCUGUUCGUCAGAAACGUGGCGGACGACACCAGGUCUGAAGAUUUACGUCGGGAAUUUGGUCGUUAUGGUCCAAUAGUAGAUGUUUAUGUUCCGCUUGAUUUCUACACUCGACGUCCAAGAGGAUUUGCAUAUGUUCAAUAUCCUUUCUUCAGAUGGAUUAGUGAGGGGUGUUGAAGUUUGAAAUUCAAGUUUUUAUAAUGUAAAGCUGUACAGUUAUGGCGACCCCAAAGAGAAAGCAUGAAAGAACUUUUAGAGUAGAGUUCAACACUUAAGGCAAGUAGACAAGCCAAAGACCUCUUAAGGAUCAGGCUUGAAGAGAAGGGAGAGUUUGGGAAAAGAAAAAAUAAAGAAAAGCUGGAAGAAGGACAAGCCUAAUGGGAGACAAAGCCUCGAUUUAUCCACAAAGGGGGAAAAGGUUGUUUUUCAAAGUUAAAGAUAAAGCCAUCUGUCAUAUUUGACCAAGCAUCUCAUGACAAGUCCUUCUGACAAGCACUAAAAGAGUUAAAGGUCAAGAUGAAGUUGAAUGAUGGCCAAGAUUAAAGGAGUCAUACCUGAUGUAUCCUACAGAAUAACUACUUUCUUUUUAUUAUUAUUAUUUUAUUUUAUUUUGCAAGCAGUUAAUUUUCAUAAUUAUGCUGGUUUGGUCUAGUGACAAAACCUGUAACUUGAGUUUGUGUGGGCCUUUUAUAUUGUGAUUGUGGUCUUGUAUGAGUGUAUUUUCUCCUAGCUUAUCAAGUUAAAGUAUAGCAGAAUGAAACAUUGUUAAGUUUAAAUUCAGCAUAAUUUGAUUUUAGACCAAUUCAUCAGAGGCUCUUUGUAAUCCGAGGUAAUAAAAUCUAGUUACAGAGCCCUAUGUAAGGGGGAGACAGGUGCAUGCACUGGGGACUACUUAGAGAAACAGGUGGAUGUUUUAAGGAAGAGCCACUAAAAAUAUGUAGCAAUAGUUCUUUCUGGUUUGUUUCUGUUUUUUCUAAGUGGCUGCUGGUUCUGUGAAUCUGCUGUCCCUGCAUGGCUUAGCACAGGCAGAUCAUUUAGUUCUGCAUGGAUAGCAGAAGACCGCCUUCGUGGUAUGGGUCCUAAUUGUGUAUGGGGAAUGAGCUUUGAUCCCGAGUUUCAGGAGAUUGUGUUUCUGACCACCUCUGUAAGAUCAUUUUCUUGUCCAAGAGAGUGGAGAGUAGAGGUGUCUGAGGCUGUGAAUUUCAACCUAGGAAACUUUCCUAUUGCUUAAAUUCAUUUUCUUGAAACUCUGACCUUAUAAAUUCCUAGUGAAGCUUAGAGGGAAAAGCCAAAAGCUGCUUGUGUGGGGCCAGUGAGUGGUCAGGAGAACCUUGUGGGUUCUUUGUAAAACUUAGAAGGAUAAUGCCCAUAUCUGGCUUCAUAAAUUGAUCCAGUCUGGUUUAUAAUGUUCAGGAUUUGUGUGGUUUGAGGUGGCCUGGGAACAGUGUCAGCAGUAGUUUCCUCAAGAGUAUGUUGUAUUUGAACAGUCCUGGGUAACACAAGCAAUCCAGAGUAGUGAUAAGCAGUAGUAAGUUAACAAGUUUGCCAGGUUCAUUUUGGGAACACAAAGAUUUCUUAGUGACCAGUACCUGGCUUCGCUUAAUGCUACUGUAUCUUCCAUGACUCUUCCUGGUUUAGCCUUCUCUCCUAAUCCUUGGCUUAAGAGGUGGGUGAAUUAUAGAUCCUUGUCCUCUAGGCCAAGAUUCUAUUUUUAAGGAUAGUACCCAAGAAUGCUCUGCCUAUGUUCAUAGUCUUUGUAACUCUUAAUGUAAAUCAUUCUGAAACUAUACUGUCUCUUGGGGUAACUAAGUAGUACAAUGUAUAUUAAGUGAACUGAUUGCUGUUAGUUUAGCACUUAAGCACAGUUAACCUUGAGGAAUGUUUAUUUACAACAUUCAAGGUUCUAAACUAUCAGCUGUUUUACAGAAGUUGAGAGCAGUUAUUUCAGACUUUGGAAAAUCGCUCCUGUUGAACCUACACAUACAUCCUGGCCUCAGAAAGAACUUGAGACCUAUGGCCCUUAAUUAUGUUUAGACAAAAAUUAGAAGUCUAGUGAUAGGCUGAGGUAGACUGUUCAUUUAUCUAUGGAACAAAUACGUCAGUCUUGAAAGAAAGGAAUGUGUCACUUUGGAGGUAUUUUCUUAAAUGGUGCUCCAAAUCUGCAUUUCCAGUGUUCUGAGACAUUGAACUGGAUGCGCUUAGAGUGACUUAUUUUUAGGAUGUAGGAAAAAUGGUUCCCAAAAGUCAAUUUUUUCAGUCAUGGUCUUUAGUGUACUUGUCUCCCAUUCGAAUGAUGCUUUUAGAAAAGAUAUGCUUAGACAAAAUAACAGUCAACCUAGGGGUUCUAUUGGUGAUGUGGGGGAAAGCUAUAAGGCAGCUUAGUUUCUCAGAUGAAAAUUGAGAGCCAACAGUUUUUUCUCUUAAUUCGGGUAAAUAAUUGCCAUGACUAAAAUGGGAAACCAGUCUGACGUGCUCUUCUGCAGAAGCUCCAUGCUUAGUGUCAGAGUUAGGCCUUUUUAAUCUAGGAGUCCCUUUGACACUUCUUGAUAGUGUGCUUUUACAGUCUGCAUGGGUGUCAUGUGCAUUUGGCAUAGUGACUGAGUGUAUUGCUUGAUUCUGUCUUAAUGCCUAUAAAUGAUUAGCAUGCCUAUCUUGUGCAGUGCAAGGAAGACAACUUCAUGAAAUAAUAUUGCCUGUAUAUGAACAUUUAAGUUAAUGCUUUCCUCUCUUGUAAAGCAUACUUUGCUUGCUUACUUAACUGGCAUUUUUAAAAUUUGAAAUAAAUAUGAAAAUCGUAUUUUGGUUUUAUUAUAAGAGAUUUUUUGAUAGCCAGCAGAAUUGACUGAUUUGUUUUUCUAUUUUAUCAAGUUAAUUUUUAAUACAUGGGAAAGUUUUUAUAGUGUACCUUGGUAGCUCAGUUAAGGCAAAUCUUAUUAUGACACAUAUUUACGUGUGUGUCUUAGAACUGUAUACCAUAGAAAAUUAUGAGUUUUUAAUGCCUGUGGUAUUAAUGGCUGAGUCAACCAAAUAAGAAGAUUGUUUAGAUGAGCAAUAUUGAGAAACUGUGAGUUGUUUCAGACUUCACAAACCAUUCAUUAUCAAAGUUUACAAAACUUCUCAAGCCCCUUAACAUUUAGCACAUUUGAGGAUGUUCGUGAUGCUGAAGAUGCUUUACAUAAUUUGGACAGAAAAUGGAUUUGUGGACGACAAAUUGAAAUACAGUUUGCACAGGGGGAUCGCAAGACACCAAAUCAAAUGAAAGCAAAGGAGGGGAGGAAUGUAUACAGCUCCUCACGGUAUGAUGAUUAUGACCGAUACAGACGCUCUCGGAGCCGGAGUUAUGAAAGAAGGAGAUCAAGGAGUCGCUCUUUUGAUUAUAACUAUAGGAGAUCUUACAGUCCUAGAAACAGUAGACCGACUGGAAGACCACGGCGUAGCCGAAGCCAUUCCGACAAUGAUAGACCAAACUGCAGCUGGAAUACCCAGUACAGUUCUGCUUACUACACUUCAAGAAAGAUCUGAAAGCGGAAAAAAGAACCAAAGAAGGGCAGUUCAAGCGACCAAAGGGUGGGUGGAAGGUGCUGCAGUAUGAAUACUGUACGAAUAUUUUGACUCUGGUCUGAAAAGAUAAAAGAAUUAUCGAAAACUACAUGGAAUAAUUGAAGUCCCUUCAAGUUUGAAAGUAAGCAUUUUAGGACAAAUAAAAGGAAUUCAACUUUG